GCCAGUGUGGCACAGUGUUUUGAGUGUUGGGAUUACAACUCUAGAGACCAGGGUUUGAUUCCCAGCUCAGCCA